UAAUACGUAGGUGGCGAGCGUUAUCCGGAUUUAUUGGGUUUAAAGGGUGCGUAGGCGGCUUUAUAAGUCGGUGGUUAAAGGUAGCAGCUCAACUGUUUUACAUGCCAUCGAUACUGUUUAGCUUGAGUUAUCAGAAGGCAGAUGGAAUUCCUGGUGUAGCGGUGAAAUGCUUAGAUACCAGGAGGAACACCGAUUGCGAAGGCAUUCUGCUGCAGAUAAACUGACGCUGAGGCACGAAAGCGUGGGGAUCAAACAGG
rnacentral:rRNA from 1 species